GAUGAACGCUGGCGGCGUGCCUAAUACAUGCAAGUCGAGCGAACAGACGAGGAGCUUGCUCCUCUGACGUUAGCGGCGGACGGGUGAGUAACACGUGGAUAACCUACCUAUAAGACUGGGAUAACUUCGGGAAACCGGAGCUAAUACCGGAUAAUAUAUUGAACCGCAUGGUUCAAUAGUGAAAGACGGUUUUGCUGUCACUUAUAGAUGGAUCCGCGCCGCAUUAGCUAGUUGGUAAGGUAACGGCUUACCAAGGCAACGAUGCGUAGCCGACCUGAGAGGGUGAUCGGCCACACUGGAACUGAGACACGGUCCAGACUCCGACGGGAGGCAGCAGUAGGGAAUCUUCCGCAAUGGGCGAAAGCCUGACGGAGCAACGCCGCGUGAGUGAUGAAGGUCUUCGGAUCGUAAAACUCUGUUAUUAGGGAAGACCAAAUGUGUAAGUAACUAUGCACGUCUUGACGGUACCUAAUCAGAAAGCCACGGCUAACUACGUG
rnacentral:rRNA from 1 species